GAACGCUAGCGGCAGGCUUAAUACAUGCAAGUCGUGGGGCAGCAUGAGUAGCAAUACUUGAUGGCGACCGGCAAACGGGUGAGGAACACGUACACAACCUUCCUUCAAGCGGGGAAUAGCCCAGAGAAAUUUGUAUUAAUACCCCAUAAUAUAUUUGAUAAGGCAUCUUAUUAAUAUUAAAGCUUCGGCACUUGAUGAUGGGUGUGCGGCUGAUUAGAUAGUUGGCGGGGUAACGGCCCACCAAGUCUACGAUCAGUAGCUGAUGUGAGAGCAUGAUCAGCCACACGGGCACUGAGACACGGGCCCGACUCCUACGGGAGGCAGCAGUAAGGAAUAUUGGACAAUGGACGAAAGUCUGAUCCAGCCAUGCCCGCGUGAAGGAUUAAGGUCCUCUGGAUUGUAAACUUCUUUUAUAUGGGACGAAAAAAGGGCAUUCUUGUUCACUUGACGGUACCAUAUGAAUAAGCACCGGCUAACUCCGUG
rnacentral:rRNA from 1 species